CCUACGGGAGGCAGCAGUAGGGAAUCUUCCGCAAUGGACGAAUGUCUGACGGAGCAACGCCGCGUGAACGAAGAAGGCCUUCGGGUCGUAAAGUUCUGUUGUUAGGGAAGAACAAGUACCAGAGUAACUGCUGGUACCUUGACGGUACCUAACCAGAAAGCCACGGCUAACUACGUGCCAGCAGCCGCGGUAAUACGUAGGUGGCAAGCGUUGUCCGGAAUUAUUGGGCGUAAAGCACGCGCAGGUGGUUCCUUAAGUCUGAUGUGAAAGCCCACGGCUCAACCGUGGAGGGUCAUUGGAAACUGGGGAACUUGAGUGUAGAAGAGGAAAGUGGAAUUCCAAGUGUAGCGGUGAAAUGCGUAGAGAUUUGGAGGAACACCAGUGGCGAAGGCGACUUUCUGGUCUGUAACUGACACUGAGGCGCGAAAGCGUGGGGAGCAAACAGGAUUAGAUACCCUGGUAGUCCACGCCGUAAACGAUGAGCGCUAAGUGUUAGAGGGUUUCCGCCCUUUAGUGCUGCAGCUACGACAUAAGACACUCCGCCGUCGGGAGGUACGGCCGGCCGAACGGACGUGUAAACGUUAAAGUUAAGUUAAGUUAGUACGGUUCGUUGAGACGUUGCCGAGGACGACGACGAGGGAGGAGG
rnacentral:rRNA from 1 species